UGGCGGGAAACCCUUUUUUUGGACAAAAAUAUUUCGGGGCCCUGGAGCUGUUUAAGGCUUCUUCUGGUGCGUGUUGCCGGAGGAGAAGCUGCCGCUGCCAGCCCUGCCCUCGUGCCUGGGGCACGGCUGGCCGUGGGGCCGGGCAGGCCGGCUGUGCCACGGCCGCACCGAGCUGGCGGUGGCCGCAGCGGCGCCUCGCCCUGCGCCGUGACGGGAUGGGCUGUGGCACGGCGCCUCCCAACCCCUGGAACAAACUGCCCGUGGGCUGCUUUGAUGUUCUUUGUCAAUGGGACCAUGAGGCCUUACCCGCCUUUCUAAUUGGGCCGGUGGCACGGCCAUCUUCAGAGCUAUCAACAAGUGGCUCUGUUGGACACGGUGGAAGCUUCUAGCAGCUUCUCCCAGAAGCCACCUCUGUGGGCUCCCUGCUGCUACCACAAAACCAGGCUGUGCCAAAUCAACAUGGCAGUGUUUGGUAGGACUGCUGAGGUGCAAUGAUGAGCUUGUCCUUUUGUAACUUCUUGCUCUGAGCCUGAGUGAAUGACAAAAUUCCCGUAGCUGGUGUCAGUGAUUUAAGCAUGGCAAGAAACUCACUCCCUGUGCCGAGUGCCCCCCUAGGCCCGGAGUCUGUGAGCAAGAACCUGAAUGUAUUGGGUGAUGUAACCUAGAAAUGUGUGUUCUAUUUCAUCUGUGGAAAGCAGUUUUUUGGGACAUGUUUUAUCCUUCAGUUACCCUUCCAGGGGAGAGGGAGACUGAUGCCUUCUGAUACUGGCCCAGCCAUGAAAACCAGGUGAGGCAGUGUUUCUUACCUCUUUCAGCACUCCUCAGUCCUCCAGGGGGGCAUUUUAAGGAUGGCCUGGAGCUGUUGGAUCUGCCCUGGACAGCAGGCAGGCAUAGACCCUCUGCUGCUGCUGGACUCUGGGCACCCACCCCCCCACCUAGAACCGCGGUUCCAGAGCGACCUAGAACCUCGGGCCCACCUACCUAGACCCGGUCCCUUGGUCUGGACCACCCAGUUGGAUUUGUCCCAAACCCACACUGGAUUUGUCCUGGGAACUGGAAUGGAGUCAGCAAAGGGGCAAAGAAAACUAAGACUGGAUUGCUCACGGAGUCUGGAUUGGCGUCACCAGGAUGGAGGGAAAAUCUGGACUGUAGUCUGGGCAGUGAGUCCAGUCUGUGUAGAAUGCAAGUGCAUAACUCAGGAGUGAUCCCAUCCCACUGAAGAUUUUCCAUGAAAUUUGAUUGAAAGUGGAGUUGCUGAGCAAAGUUUUAACAGUGAGAAAGCAGCAGGUUCUCUAGGCUUUGACAGUCUGGAAGCACUGGACGGGUCCUAUUUCUAGAUGGUGGCAUCGGUGUUGGAGUCUAUGGGAAGCCUGGAAAAGCAAGGUCUUGUUCACGAGGAGCCGCUUCGUCUUGAAAGUCAACGUGUCUCGCAAGAGGGAGCUGGCAAAAAAGGAGAGAGCCGCUAGGAAGCAAAGAAGCUGGCCCGAAGGCCUUAUCCCAGCCCAGGGUUCCCACUUUUCUCUCUGACUCCUGGAUAAUUGCUCGAACGUAACCAGGGAGCGUCCGUUUGAUUUCCUGCCUUUUCCAAUAAAUCCUUGCCUUCAGCUGGAGCGCGUUCCUGGUGUCCUCCUCCUCCUCCUCCUCCUGUUGCAUGGAUUUGUAAAUAAAGUUCAUGACUUCUGUCCCAAUGAAUUUUAUUAUUCUAGCGAUUGUGGCUCGCUUGUUCCACUGAAACUUCCCCGCUCUGCCGAGAGUUUGAGACGUCAAAUCCAGGUAAGACUGGAGUUUCUUUGGAUUGCUACUGCCACAAAACACAGGUAAAUCUUGGAGAAGUGUAACGUGACCUGUUUAGUUCUCACUUGCCUUUAAAAUCAGAGCAGAGGAGGCAGAUUUUAAAUCAUCCUUCCAUGAACUUCCACCAACUUCCUGACUGUCGCAAAAGUUUUCGAUGUUAGAAAUUCCCGAGCUUGUUUUCCAGGCGAGCUGGGAUUUGGGUGCUAUUCCUGCCUUUAUUUCAUGGUUUUCCUAUCUCUGAUUUUAGUGAGGGGAUAUUAAUCGCAAAUGCUGAUUUUCCAUCCCAGUUGGAAUUUUUGUACAUCUUAGGGCAUAUUUGCAAGGAAAUUUUCCAGAAGAGUGUCGCUAAACGGGCAUUGUGGAUCACCGUACCUGCAGAAUGCUGUAAAUUCCGAGGAAAACUUGCUGCGUGUUUAAUUGCCAUCAUGAAUCUCUCUGUAAAGUCAAAUUUACUGCAUUUUUAAUGCCAUGAAUCCCAUUACAACCUCAAUCCUGGCCUAAUUGCUGUUCCCUGGACACAAUGGGGUGGUUCUUUCCUGCCUUGGCACAUUUGGAUGUUCAUCCGAAUAUGUGGCAGAUUGUCUGCUGGCAACAAAGAAGUUGGUAAAUGACAGCCGUGGCCACCCACCGAAGGCCUGGGUAUAAUCAAGAGAGAGCAAAGCCUCUGUACUUUCUGCUCCAUUGAAGAACCCGAAGGGAGAAAGCUGCAAAUGCCACGGUGCUGUUUUUUCCUUUUUACCCCCUAACAGGUCUCAUUCUACCCACGUACAGUGUUAUUAGCAGCAGUCACUUGAUGUCGGGGUGUAUUUCAGAGGCAGCAAUAAAAGAAAGUCUAUUUUUUAUUCCGUAACUCUCCAAACCUCAUUGUUUCGUAAGAAAGAAAUCCAAAACAA